rnacentral:lncRNA from 1 species
CGCGGCUCUGUGACGUCACGAAUCGGUCCUCUGUAAGAGGGGAGGGCAUUCUUCUCCAGGGAGGGCUACGUGUUGACGCCAUACGCCGGGGCGGGGCCGAGAGUUUGGAGCCCCGGAGUGGGGUGUCGGCGCCUCAUUCGGGUGGAGCUGAGCCGGAGACAGGCAGUUGUGAAAACCUUCAGGACAAAAAUGUUUCAUUUAAGGACUUGUGCUGCUAAGUUGAGGCCAUUGACGGCUUCCCAGACUGUUAAGACAUUUUCACAAAACAGACCAGCAGCAGCUAGGACAUUUCAACAGAUUCGGUGCUAUUCUGCACCUGUUGCUGCUGAGCCCUUUCUCAGUGGGACUAGUUCGAACUAUGUGGAGGAGAUGUACUGUGCUUGGCUGGAAAACCCCAAAAGUGUACAUAAGGUAAGGCUCGCAGGGCUGUGGGUCUGCCUCAUGUUGGUGUGUUGGCCUGUUCCUGACUGGUCACCAGGUAAGUGUGUGCGUCCUGAGGAGUCAGCGGGCAGACAGGCAGCUGGAGCGCCAUACCAACCACCGUAUCUGUAUCGGACCCAGCAUAGCCCCAGCAGAAGCCAUGGUCCCUGGAUUGGCGUCCAGCAGUAGACACUGUGCUUAACUCUGCGAGGAUGUGAAGAAGCAUGUGUGUGACCCUCCAGCAUCUCCGCAAGGGCUGCUUCAGGAUGAAGCCGCUG